rnacentral:ncRNA from 1 species
UUAUUUUUAUAGCAAGCUUAAUUUUAGAAACAGGCGUAGAAAUCAAAUUUUAAAAAAUAUAUUUAGUUAUAAAAAUAAGACCCGAUACCGGGUGAUCUAACUAUGAACAGAUUGAAAAAUGGAUGAAACUUUUUGAAAGAUCGAACUCACAUAUGUGGCAAAAUAUAGACAUGAUUUGUGGUUAGGAGUGAAAGGCUAAUCAAACUCGGAUAUAGCUGG